UACAUAGGUCUCAAGCGUUGUUCGGAUUCAUUGGGCGUAAAGGGUGCGCAGGUGGCGAGGCAAGUCUGAUGUGAAAUCCCUGGGCUCAACCCAGGGCCUGCAUCGGAAACUGUCGGGCUUGAGUAUGGGAGAGGUGAGUGGAAUUCCUGGUGUAGCGGUGAAAUGCGCAGAUAUCAGGAAGAACACCCGUGGCUAAGGCGGCUCUCUAGUACGGUACUGACGCUGAGACGCGAAAGCGUGGGGAGCGAACAGG
rnacentral:rRNA from 1 species